CUGAAAGCAGGCGGUGAGGCCCGCCUUUGCGCCCCGAUCCGGGUGCAAGAACCGCCCCCCGGCCAACGGUCUCUAAGGCACG
rnacentral:ncRNA from 1 species